CACUCAAGCAGAGCAGAGCAGCGGCAAAGCAAGUGAUCUCUUUAGCUCGGAUCAUCUCUGCAUUUGCAUUUGCAGCUGCUCGUCACGGCAAUGGCAUCCACCAACAGCUGGACCCACGAGAUCGAGUCGCCGGUGGCCGCGCCGCGCCUGUUCCGCGCCGCCGUCAUGGACUGGCACACCCUUGCCCCCAAGAUCGCCUCCCACAUCGUCGCCAGCGCCCACCCCGUCGACGGCGACGGCAGCGUCGGCAGCGUCAGGCAGUUCAACUUCACCUCAGGUAUAUAUAUAUAUAUAUACCGCCGUCCACUAAGCUCAAUAUUCCAUCAUCCCCGAGAUGCACUUGAUAGUGCGGUGGCAAGGGGUGUGUGGUUUCAACUAUGACGUCCGUCCCGUGUUCAAUCCCCAACACGUUCAUAAUUACAUUCACCUGCUGUUCUUUCUGCAGCCAUGCCAUUCAGCCACAUGAAGGAGAGGCUGGAGUUCCUGGACGUGGACAAGUGCGAGUGCAAGUCGACGCUGGUGGAGGGCGGCGGCAUCGGCAAGGCGAUCGAGACGGCGACGUCGCACAUCAAGGUGGAGCCGGCGGCGAACGGCGGGAGCGUCGUGAAGGUGGAGUCCACGUACAAGCUCCUCCCCGGAGUGGAGGUGAAGGACGAGAUCACCAAGGCUAAGGAGUCCCUCACCGGCAUCUUCAAGACCGCCGAGGCCUACCUCAUCGCCAACCCGGACGCUUACAACUAAAUCGUCAUCAUGCCUAUGCCCCCAAAAUAUGUUUGAUAAUAUUUGAUCUUUGCGAGUGUGUAUGAUCGAAAUAAAGCUGCUUCCAAGCAGUGAUUGAGAAGUGAGCAGCGAGAAGCUUGGUGUGUGGUUUGGUUGCUGUCGGAGAAUGGUUUUGUUUGACAUGAUGCUGUCAACACCGGCUAUGUUAUGUAUCUAUCUAGCAUCUACCUGUUGGUUUUGCGUGGGAAUAAAAACAUACUAUAAAAGAUAAUGAGCUCGGAAGCUACUAUCUGUGAACUGUGAAGUACUCUGCUUUGGAAGAUAUC
rnacentral:lncRNA from 1 species